rnacentral:rRNA from 2 species
GCGGCGGACGGGUGAGUAACACGUGGGCAACCUGCCUGUAAGACUGGGAUAACUCCGGGAAACCGGAGCUAAUACCGGAUAACAUUUUUUCUUGCAUAAGAGAAAAUUGAAAGAUGGUUUCGGCUAUCACUUACAGAUGGGCCCGCGGUGCAUUAGCUAGUUGGUGAGGUAACGGCUCACCAAGGCAACGAUGCAUAGCCGACCUGAGAGGGUGAUCGGCCACACUGGGACUGAGACACGGCCCAGACUCCUACGGGAGGCAGCAGUAGGGAAUCUUCCGCAAUGGACGAAAGUCUGACGGAGCAACGCCGCGUGAGUGAUGAAGGCUUUCGGGUCGUAAAACUCUGUUGUUAGGGAAGAACAAGUACAAGAGUAACUGCUUGUACCUUGACGGUACCUAACCAGAAAGCCACGGCUAACUACGUGCCAGCAGCCGCGGUAAUACGUAGGUGGCAAGCGUUAUCCGGAAUUAUUGGGCGUAAAGCGCGCGCAGGCGGUUUCUUAAGUCUGAUGUGAAAGCCCACGGCUCAACCGUGGAGG